UAUUUAAGUUGGUAUGGGUUUAAAACUUAAGAACAUGUUUUUAUAUGAAUUUUAAAUUGAUUAAUUUUGAAGUUAUAUGCCAAUUCAUUGGUUUCCUUUUGAAUCAAAUGGACUAUAUACGGUGAACACAUGGUUAUUAUUCAAUAAAGAACAUUCUAGUUUUGAUUUUGGCUGCACAGUUAAAUUUCAAUUUGAUAAUUGGAGGGCUAGUUGAAUUUGAAAAGGGCCAGUAAGUUGAUGAACAAAAAGUAAGUGCUCUGUGUUUAAGCUUAGAAGAAGCUAUGGAAUUUUUUUUUUUUUAAAGUUAAUUUGUCUGUUGUGCAAAAUGUUUAGUUGCAGUGAAGCUAAAUAUUUAUGCAGUGGGUUUCUCUUAAGAGAUGGGGAUGCUUGUGGUGGCUACUUUGGAUAAUUUUCACAUAGGCUGUCAUGUCUACCAACUGCCACUUGAUUGUGAUUUGUAUGGAUGUGAAGUUCGUCAAAAAUCUAUUACAAAUCAUACCUUUUGGGGACACAUUUUGGAAUUUGGGCCAUAUUAUCAUGGAUUAAUACAAAAAGAUAUCUCAAAAUAUACUCUUCAAAAAAAGAAAUUUGACAUUGGUAAAAAUAAUGCUAUCAGAUUAUUUUUACAGAAUCAAAGACAUAAAGACAAUCAAGUGACUGAAUGGUGAUGCAAAAACACUAGAAACAUGUUCGAUUCGCAUAAACAUAGCCAUAGUCAACGUUUGUACUGAAACGCAAAAGUGCAACCCUCAGAGAAGCACGUGCAUCAUGAAGUUCAGUAACUUUGCAUGCUGAACCCUCUAUUGGUGGGGCGUAAAAGGCCACAUCAGCAGUGAUUCAAACAGACUGCAUAACAAUACUGUAGGUAACGCAAUAAUGCCAAGAUUGACGUCAGCUGAAUGCAAUAAUGCCAUUGGGAGAUUGCAAGCAGGGGCAACUCAACAAGCUGUGGUAAGGCACUUUGGCGUCUCUAGACAGACCAUCUCUGCUUUAUUGGCACAAUACAACACCACUCCAAGUGUUAAUGACAGGCCAAGGUCAGGUCGUCCCAGAGUAACCACUGCCACUCGAGAUUGAUACAUCCGGGUGUGUCAUUUUCGAAAUCGAACCACAACAGCAACAACUACAGUGACACAAAUCCCUGGACUACACAGAAUUUCUGACCAAACAGUUCAUAAUCGGUUGAGGGAGGCAGGAAUUUUCCCUAGAAGACCAGCGGAGUGUCUGCAGUGGUGCCAGCAGAGGGUGAGAUGGACACGUGCCAGAUGGAGGACUGUUUUGUUCUCAAAUCAGUCUCAUUUUCCUGUCACACAUGUCUGUAGAUGUCAAGGAGAAUGUUAUGCUUCAAACUGCAUGCAACAAGUCUACCGUUUUGGUGGUGGUGGUGUCAUGGUGUGGGCAGGAAUCCACCAUGGUGGUCAUAUGGCUCUUGUGCAUGCGGCAGGUGCACUGAUGGGCAUCAGAUAUCGAGACGAAAUCGUGUAGCAUCACGUCAUUCCGCACAUGAACGUCAAUGGUGGAAUGUUUCAGCAUCUGUUAGUCAGGAGUUUCUGCAGCACCACAUUGUCCAGACAUUACCUUGGCCUGCCCAUUUGCAGGAUUUAAACCCAAUAGAACAUCUAUGAGAUGCACUGGAUCAGCAUGUACGCCGGAGGAAUCCACCACCCUAGACACUUCCGCAACUUCUUACAGCACUGCAGCAUGAGUGGCAGAACAUUCCGUAACAUGUUGUAUGUUUGAUUGCUUCCAUGCGUCGCAGUUGUCAAGCUGUCAUCAGGGCUCAUGGUGGUCAUAACCGAUACUGACAUUUUGCCCACCCCUAUGUCACACAUAUGCCUGUGUACAUGUUUCUGGUGAAUUCCCAGAGAUACUGUUUGGGACAUGUACAGAGUAAUCCCUUUCGCAUGACGUCUUGAUGUGUGGUUGCUUGUAUCAUGUCUACCAGUUUCUUUUAUUAAACUUUGAAAAUCAAUGUCGAAGUUUCAUUUUUUUUGAAGAGUAUAUUUAAAAUGAGUCCAGUUUAUAAAAUAUGACCAUGGAUAUUUGUUUAAUUCCUUGAGAGAAAAAACAAGUUCCUUGAUAUUUAAAACAAAAGUGCAUUUUUGAUGUCAUAAAUCUCAAUUGAAUAUUCACAAAUAACUGCAGUCUUCUACCUUAAAUGUAUACAAAAAUUUAAUUUCCGUUUUGGCAAAAACAUUCUCAAAUAUAGUCAAUAAAAUCAACUUUAAUAGUUUGUUGAGAAAACAGCUUAAAGUAUAGACUAAACCCUGAGUACCAGGUACUUGUUUCUUCAAGUUUACGCAGUUUAAUGCAGAACACCAUAGAAAACUAAUAUAUUUAAAUGCAUUUUUAUUCUGAGUAGAUGUAUUAAGACUGUUGCUAACUGCACAAUAGAGAUUGAAAAUUUACUGAACAUAUAAUAAAUUGCUGAUGUAUAACAAAUGUUAUAUUUGUGUGGACAGUCAAAAAAGAGUGUUACCAAAGUGUCAACAUCAAUCGAGUGGAAAGGUGAAGGAGAGUCGGUCCAAGUAGAAGGAUCAUUCAACAACUGGGAAGAGAAAAUUACAUUGGAGAAAAAAGAUGAUGUAUUUUCUGGGUCAAUAAGCAUGCCAGCCGGAGAAAAUCUGUAUAGAUUUUUUGUUGAUGAAAAAUGGAUGGUCGAUAAGGAUUUACCAGUCAAGAAUAACGAUAACGGAAAUGAAUGCAAUGUGAAAGAGGUUGCUGGAUAAGUCAUUUAUGGCGACUAGCAGAGAUUCAUCCAUGUGUAAAUUGUAGCUGUCCUAGAAAGAGCAAAGAAAUGGGGAUACAUCAAAGAAGCUACUUCUUACAUUUCCAAUGUAUCUAUGCUGUUGUGCAACAAAAAUAAUUUAAACUUAAUUCAUUUGUUAAUGAUUGAUAAAGACAUUUACUAUAACAUGUGCAAAGCUCAUACAUGUAGUUUGUUGGUCUGGUGGUUAACUGAGGACUUUACUCACAAUGUGGUAACUAGUUUGAUCCUUCACACGCCUAAUUCUGUCCAUGUAUUUGGUGCUCUCUACUGCUUAUAAAACAGUGUAUGGAUAGUCUAUUGAUGGAAGAUAAUAAAAUAAUAAAUUUACUUUAUUUAUAAAAGUGAUGAUAUUUUUGUUAAUUUCAUAUGCAGUUUGUACAAAUUUAACAAAUACUGAUAUGACACUAAGUCAAUGUUCAGAAUGCUAGUGUUUUUGAAAAAUAUAUUUGAUCCAUUUUUAGACAAGCUUUACUUAUCUUAGUUCAUGUUUUUGCAUCCCCAUUUCCCAUAAAACUGUAGACAGUGUAGUGAUUGCAAUAAUUGAUUAAAUUAGAAUAUCCAAAUUUGUUAUAUUAUAAUGUUUAUAUUUUCUGCAUACCAAAUUUAAGAAUUAUUAGUUGUAUUUUAUUUUAUACACUGAUGAAAAAAUAAACUAACAAAUUAUACAGAACUUUAAUUAAAUACUACGUUUUGUUUUUGUUUUUUUUUUUUUUUUUUUUUAAAUAUUAACUUGGUGUCGUCAUUAGUUUUCAUUAUUUUAUAUUAACACAAAAAAGAAAGGCCUAUAAAAAACAUCACAGUAAAAAUCUACAUACAUGUAUUUGCAUUUAGUGAACUAAAAUACAAAUGUUUAUAAUAUUGAAUAAAUAAUAUUUUAAGACAACAACUGUCUGUAGGCAAAAUCAUCAGAUUGUUUUUAAAAUGUUUGUUUUACAUAACAUGUAUUUCUUUGGUGUGGGGUAGUUUAUAUUGUAUUAGCUUUAAAUACUUUUAAAAUGUACUCUGUUGCUUGUCACAAUGCUCAUAUAUAACAAAUAAGUUGAUCUUAACUAGUCAAUUAUUAAAAUGCUCAAUAUUUCAUUUAACACCACACUGUUUUAAAGUGUACUCUGUUUAUGCUUGGUUAUGUUUAUACUAAAUUCCUACUGCCAGUCACUGAUUUUAGUGCAGUUUCUCUUAUUUCAAUUGUGCCAUCAUAGUUAUAUACCAAAUGAAUUGUACUGUUAAUGAAUUGUGCUUUAAGUAUUUAGAAUCCAAAAGGUGCUGUUACAUCCUCAUAUUACUGAUUUAUCAAUACAGUUAUUUUCACUGAAACUGUAAAAUGGAAUCUUAUAAAUAUUGUGGAUCUGUG